rnacentral:tRNA from 1 species
UAUAGCUCAGUGGUAGAGCACUUGCCAAGUAUGAAUUCAACUCCUGGGUUUGAUUCCCAGUA